rnacentral:rRNA from 1 species
UACGUAGGGUGCAAGCGUUGUCCGGAAUUACUGGGCGUAAAGAGCUCGUAGGCGGUUCGUCACGUCGGCUGUGAAAACCCGGAGCUCAACUCCGGACCUGCAGUCGAUACGGGCGGACUUGAGUGUUGCAGGGGAGACUGGAAUUCCUGGUGUAGCGGUGAAAUGCGUAGAGAUCAGGAGGAACACCUGUGGUGUAGACAGCUUACUGGACGAUAACUGACGCUGAGGCACGAAAGCGUGGGUAGCAAACAGG